CCUAACCGCAAGGAAGGAGCCGCCGAAGGCAGGUCUGAUAACUGGGGUGAAGUCGUAACAAGGUAGCCGUAUCGGAAGGUGCGGCUGGAUCACCUCCUUUCUAAGGAA
rnacentral:rRNA from 2 species